CUAUUCUUCCUGCGUGUAGAAGUGUGGUUUCUGUCAUUAUUGAGUUAUAUUUGCUUUUCUGUUAGUUUUUCAAAAGCAGUUUUAAAAACACACAAAAAAAUGUGGGACUGCCAAACAUUUGGCAAAGUUUGACAAUCAGAUAUACUGUAAGGUAUGAAUAGGAAAACCAUGUCCGUCUCACGUUUUCUCGAAUAACGUUUGUAAAGUAAUCUGUGAACAAGACCAAAGAAGGAACAAGGGACCAAGAAUCAAACAAAAACAUUCUCUUAUGCCAUUAUCCAGACAAUCUCUCCUGCAGCCGAAUCAUUUCCAUCUUUGUCCCGACAGAAUUUACCUGAAGUUCAGGUGUGCUAGUAUUAUUAUUUGAGCUUUUAUGCUGAUUUCGUUGUUGUUCUUUUUUUCAGUUUAAGUUGAAUUUCUUAGUAUCUACAGCACCAACUGUAUAUACCGAUGAUGACGUUGCAUGCAUUGCUUUUGCCAAAGUAUGUCACUCGCAUAUCCUGAUUCUUACGUCUGCAUGUCAGCCACAGCUUGGUGUGAAGCAGAAGAGACACCAGUCCAAAUGUGAAUGUGUAGAGGGGAAAAACGAACUGUUUACAUUGGGGACGUCCAAGAUAGCCGAAUGCAGUGGCCAAACGAAGGCGAUAUAGGGACCAGAUGUCAUCAUGAAAAGGUAAUUAGUGCAUUUUCCCUCCCUCUCCAAACAUUCCUUUGUGCUUGUCUUCAGCCUGUGUCAUUUGUGUAAUUUUGUGUACGACUGUACACCCGAAUGCGUCGGGUCUGAGCUUCGUCUUGGUCUCACUAAACUGCUGUGGAAAUACCAGAACCUUUUUAUAUCCUGUAAGUUGGACGAAGAUGGGGGAGAGUAGGAGUAGCCUACAUCUGUGUGUGUGUGUGGGGGGGGGGGGGGGGGUGGUGAGUGAGUGUGUGCUUUUGUACGUGCGUCUGUGUCUUCGCGCGCGCAAGCCCUCUCCAGCUGCGGAAUGUUGAGUCGGCAAGAAGAGCUCAGUUGAAUGUCUGGAACCAAUCAGAGAAGAGGAGGGCUCAGGGCCACGAGGGGUUAAGAAGAAAUGUAGAGGAGGGAGAGACGACAACUACAGGCCAAAAGGAGAAGAGAGCGAGAGAGGUGUAGUGACAUUAGCAGCGGGGGAUGGAGAAGGGACACGUCCUACACUCCGGCUGUCCCCUGCUGGUGGUUUGAGGAACAACCACACGUGAAUCAGAAGAAAACGGUGAUGUUACGCCACGUCCUUGGGAUUGUUCUGCAUUGAAUGGAGACUGGGGUUUGUGUCGUCCCUGUGAAGUUUACCCAGAGCAACCUUUUUGACUUUGUUUUGUACGUCUUUAAUUUUUUAUUUUAUUUUCACAAAUAAAGUUUAUGUUGACAAUCAGGCAUAUACGAUUCACGGGUUUAUUUAGGGUUUAAAAAAGAAAACUAUGCUGUAAACUAUAGCCAAGGAUAAAUAACAUUUGUUUACAUAUGGCUGUUUGUCGAGAGGGCCUAAACACAAUUCUUUGUGGGGGAAAUUACUAAAUUGAACUAAAUAGCCAUCGUUUGAUUGAUUAUGAUUAUUGGAAAAAUAAAUUGCAAAAAGAACAGUAGCAUACUGAAUGUAAUAGCGUCCCCAGACCAACGUGCAAUCUACGAUGGAGCUUGUGCCGUGUUCCAAUACCCGUACUUCCAUGAGUAUACUUAGAGGAAGUACACUAUCUGCACUAUCCGUACUCACUUGAGUACGGUCAUUUUUCAGAUGUGAGUGCUGUUCCAAAUCGAGUACUCCGUGGUGCACUUACCGGAAAUUACGAUCACGACUGCCGCCGCGGCUCCUCCCCCGUAAUAAACAUCCCGCUUUGAACGGUGAACUCUUUACGCCUAGCAGCUAUAAAAAGCUAUAAAAACUACAAAAUGACUAAUAAUGCUGAAAAUGCGCCGACUUUGGCUCAGCCUGGCUCCGCCUCUUCCGCUACGUAGCUAAGAUGGCUGCCGUUGAGUACGGGGAGUGUGCUUCGAUCCUUCGAUCCACACUUCACGAUUAGCCCGUUUUGAGUACGGCAUCCGGGUCCUUGAAGUAUUCUUCUUUUCUCCGGAUCUGAAUUGGAACGUACUGCGUACUCAAAUUUUGGCUAGUAAGUACGGACAGUACGGGUAUUGGAACACGGCACUGGUCUGGCAAUAGCCAGGCUAAUUGUUGCCAAUAGCCUACUUGGUUGGGUAGCCUAAUAUAUAAAGAAAGAAUCUGCAAUCUCCUUUCACUGAACGGAAUGAUCCGCUUUAAUUCAGUGCUCUCAACAGAGUGUCACGGCCGCUGGCCAAGGUGCAGAAAAUGGACCGCAAAGCAGACACGAUAUACUUUAACAAAAAAUAUAGUUUUAUUUUAAUCAGGGGUCGUAGGCGACAGGCUCCAAUGAGCACGGAAAACUAAGGAGCUUGGCUAGGCACAGGGGCACUAAGGUCCAAGGGGAACAGAAAACUAGCAGUUGCAAGUAAAAAAAACGGGAGAGAAAAAAGCAAGUUUCGGGCAACGGCCAGGGAGGGGGCAAGGGCAAGGGGAGGUCCUGGGCUGAGCGCGGGCUUGGCGUGGAGCAGUGUGGCUCGGCUGUAGCUUGGCGGGGCUGUAGCAGGCGUGAUGUGGAUCCAUGAACAAGGAUAAACCUGCCGUGGCCGCCUGCAGUUUAAAUAAUCUGUCCUGUGGCAGAUUGUAAUCAGCCACUGAUUGAUAAUCAGCCAUAGGUGCGCUUGUGGCACAGCAUGCCAAAAACCAUGGGCGUGUGAGGCCAUGGAGUGGGCGUGGCUUGGACACAGUGAAGGCAGGUAGCAGGAGGGAAAACCCGGCUCAGGACCGUGAAGAGCCGGCCCGGACUGUGACAGUACCCCUCCCUCUACGAACACCUCAAGGUGUUCCGAUGGCCUCUAGAUUCUGUCGCUGGAAGUUCCUGAUCAGAGUUGGGUCCAUAAUGCAACGGGAUGGCACCUGUGGUGGGAAUUCCGGAACCACGUCAAUUACAAUUGUCUGAACUGACGAAACUGGGUAGAAUAAAGAGUCAUCCGAACUUAUAACAAUUAUGCUCAUAUAUUUGGGUAAUAACGGUACAAUAACAUACAACAAACAAUAAAACAUAACAAACAAUGAUCCAAUGGAUGGGAAAUCAGCCCGCGCCCCUCCAAGAGCUGCGCAAGCUGAAGUCUGACGCAUUGUCUAAUGCGAGGACUUCUUAUACCGUGUCACAGGUCUCAGAAAUGCUGAGAUCAGCUCUGCUCCACACAUGAUGUGUGAUGGAAAAAUAGAUAAUUUUGUUUCCCCUUCAUCAUUUUAGCUUUGUCUCCUAUUCCUUGCAUUGUCUAAUCACUCUAACUGUUCCUAACAUUAUCCAACGUUAACCUUUGUGCCUGGGGUAUACCGGUCACGAUGAAGCAGAGAUCCCCUUAUGCAUUAUUUUCCUUGAUGAGAAUACAGGAAACUCUGUCCUUAGGUAAACAUUAUCCUAUUGAUCAUUGACAAUUGUAAUGUGGGGUCUCAUAGUGGUGACUUCUCAGUUGGACACUGUGAACCUUGACCACCCCAAGGGUGUCAGCGAAAAGGCAUAACCAACAAAUGGCAUUACAGAAACAGAAUGGGAAAAUAUAAUUCUCCCAUUACACACCCAACUCCUCUCCUCCGGCCCGUAACCUUUCCAGUCGACCAGAUACUGCAGCCCUCUGCUCCUCUUGUGGACUUUGAAUAGCCUCCUGACCGUGAACGUCUCGCCUCCAUCCACGAGGGGUAGGGGGGGGGGGGGUGGUUAGGGGGGCGGGUGAAAAGAGGACUAGAGAACACUGGCCUCAACUGCAAACAUUGAAGGAUGAGUGAAUCCGUUGCAUGGACAUGGGUACCUUCAGUCUUACAGUGGAAGGCUGUAGUAACCAAUAAUGUAAUAACAGCCAAUAACGUAAUAACUGCCACGUAAUUAUUUAAAUGUAAUAAAGCUAAUGACGUAAUAAAUAGUCAAUAAUGCAAUAAAGUUGUUGAGCCAAUAACGUAAAAACUUUUUCCCGAUAAUGUUAUAACGUUUGACGUAACUGGCUGGUAAUACGUUUUUGGCCUUUGAAAAUGUAAUAACUGAGCCAAUAAUGUAAUAACUGAGGUAUCACUUUAUUUUAUUUUCAAUUUCUGGAGAGAAACUGUCACGCCUUAAUAUUGCAUCUUGCAACACAUGCUUAAACAUCUGGUCAAUUUGUAUUUAUAUGUAGGGUUCCGUUAUAGGACUCGGUGGAUCUAACUCCGUGACUAUGCAGACGUUUCAACGGAGUCUUGAGCCUUUCGAAGUUCUGCGUUUCAGUUUUCAGUAUGGCAUUGCAAUUCACCGCUGGAACGCUAGCCCUGCGGGAAUGAGACCAUAGCUGACCAAUGACAGCCCCGCGGUCUCCAUCGUUCUGAGGGGCUACGGAGAGCACUUUACGCAGUGUCAUAAACUAAGCUUUACUUUUAAUCUGGGUUUCUUGAAUGGGCCGAAACAGCUUUGGGGCCAGCCUGAUCUACCGAGGGACAUUCGAUUGCUUGGACAACUGCUGCAUGAAGGGUAAGUAUUGGUGAAUACUCUUGGAUAAGGUGUAUACUCUUUCCGCCACUUUCUUUAGUCGCUAUCUACAAACAUUAACAUAGAAGGACAAAAGACAUAUCUUAUGAUAGAGAGGGACAGACAGGCAGACAGAGAGAAGAUAGAGAGAGAAUCAGACACACAGACGUUGGAUGCAGCGUGGCUCUUCAGGACUCUUGUGGUGCAUCGACACUCAAGUCCAAAACGUUCUACAGAGGCUUUUGUAAUGUCUACAGUUAUUACAUUUUAGGAGCUCUCAUUUCCUAGACUAGUUUGCAGUUAAACACAACAUAAGAUCAAAAUAAAACGAGCCAUUGCUAAUUAUUAAUUACAACAAUACUAAUUAUAUAAAUUUUGAUUCUUUAUUAUCAUUACUAUUGGGGCCCCCAGCAUGUUGUUGAUCUUUAAAAGAACCCCUAGAUAAACUCAUUGAAGACCCCUGCUCUAUAAGCUGACUAUGGUGAAUCUGAUCGGGAAACUUUGGAAUUGUUACGAACAAUUAUAAAUGUGUAUAGUAUAUCAUAGAAUAACAUAUGAAAAUACAUUGAACAACUUGCUCAACUUGUGUGUGUGUGUGUGUGUGUGUGUGUGUGUGUGUGUGUGUGUGUGUGUGUGUGUUCAGCAAAAAAUAAAAUAAAGUGACUAAACUUAGAUGUCAAGUAGGGGGCCACAAAAUAUCGUCCGGCGGGCCGCAAUUGGCCCGCGGGCCGCGAGUUUGAGACCCCUACUCUCAAAAAUCGUGCUAUUGCGUCAUUUAAAAAAGGAAGUGUUAGACAUCGAUAUGGAUCUCUCCGGUCUCAGGGGAAAAUAAGGGAAUGAUGCUCGACCAUUGAAAAAUAUGAGUGGGUUUCUAACGAUACAAAGCUUAAUGGAAAUGAGUGAAGUUUCCUUUAAGAGGUCAGGGAAGCUGUUGCCUUUGGGGAAGGGGAGUUUUUAGGGUAAUUUUGGAGUGGAAUUUUGGAGUUC
rnacentral:lncRNA from 1 species